rnacentral:rRNA from 1 species
CCCUUAGAUGUUCUGGGCCGCACGCGUGCUACACUGAGUGGACCAGCGGGUCAGGUUGCGCGAAAGCGUUUCCUAAUCUUGAAAUCCGCUCGUGAUGGGGAUUGACGGUUGCAAUUUUCUGUCAUGAACGAGGAAUACCUUGUAAGCGCGGGUCAUCAUCCCGCGCUGAAUACGUCCCUGCCCUUUGUACACACCGCCCGUCGCUCCUACCGAUUGAGUGGUCCGGUGAGGCUUUGGGAUCUGAGCGGAAAGAGCGUUUCGCUCGUUCUGCCCGGAAAACUCAGUCGAACCUUAUCAUUUAGAGGAAGGAGAAGUCGUAACA